AGCGAACGCUGGCGGCAGGCCUAACACAUGCAAGUCGAACGAACCCUUCGGGGUUAGUGGCGGACGGGUGAGUAACACGUGGGAACGUGCCUUUAGGUUCGGAAUAACUCAGGGAAACUUGUGCUAAUACCGAAUGUGCCCUACGGGGGAAAGAUUUAUCGCCUUUAGAGCGGCCCGCGUCUGAUUAGCUAGUUGGUGAGGUAAUGGCUCACCAAGGCUACGAUCAGUAGCUGGUCUGAGAGGAUGACCAGCCACAUUGGGACUGAGACACGGCCCAAACUCCUACGGGAGGCAGCAGUGGGGAAUCUUGCGCAAUGGGCGAGAGCCUGACGCAGCCAUGCCGCGUGGAUGAUGAAGGUCUUAGGAUUGUAAAAUCCUUUCACCGGUGAAGAUAAUGACUGUAGCCGGAGAAGAAGCCCCGGCUAACUUCGUGCCAGCAGCCGCGGUAAAAC
rnacentral:rRNA from 1 species